rnacentral:rRNA from 1 species
AUGGUUGUCGUCAGCUCGUGUCGUGAGGAUGUUGGUUAAGUCCCGCAACGAGCGCAACCCUUGUGUUUAGUUGCCAACAGAUAAUGCUGUGCACUCUAAACAGACUGCCGUGGAUAACACGGAGGAAGGUGGGGAUGACGUCAAAUCAUCAUGCCCCUUAUGAUCUGGGCUACACACGUGCUACAAUGGUCGGUACAACGGGCAGCGAAAGAGUAAUCUGGAGCGAAUCCUAAAAAGCCGAUCCCAGUUCGGAUUGUGGGCUGAAACUCGCCCACAUGAAGUUGGAGUUGCUAGUAAUCGCGGAUCAGAAUGCCGCGGUGAAUGCGUUCCCGGGUCUU